CCUACGGGAGGCAGCAGUGAGGAAUUUUCCGCAAUGGGCGAAAGCCUGACGGAGCAAUACCGCGUGAGGGAUGAAGGAUUUUGGUCUGUAAACCUCUUUUCUCAAGAAAGAAGUUCUGACGGUACUUGAGGAAUAAGCAUCGGCUAACUCCGUGCCAGCAGCCGCGGUAAUACGGGGGAUGCAAGCGUUAUCCGGAAUGAUUGGGCGUAAAGCGCCUGUAGGUUGUUUAUUAAGUCCGUUGUUAAAGCCUAGGGCUUAACCCUAGAAAAGCAAUGGAAACUAGUAGACUAGAGUAUGGCAGGGGUAGAGGGAAUUUCUAGUGUAGCGGUGAAAUGCGUAGAUAUUAGAAAGAACACCGGUGGCGAAAGCGCUCUACUGGACCAUUACUGACACUCAGAGGCGAAAGCUAGGGUAGCAAAAGGGAUUAGAUACCCCUGUAGUCCUAGCCGUAAACGAUGGAUACUAGAUGUUGUGCAUUAUGUACAGUAUCGUAGCUAACGCGUUAAGUAUCCCGCCUGGGGAGUACGCUCGCAAGGGUGAAACUCAAGGAAUUGACGG
rnacentral:rRNA from 1 species